rnacentral:sRNA from 1 species
ACUAUUUAGCUUUACAAUCUUAUCUAAGUUUAAUAUUUCUCUGGAGUAUUAUACAUUAUAUAUAUAUUAUAAAAUAUAUAUAAUUUUCAUUAGAAGAAUAACAUGUCAUGUCACUUGGCGUUUUAGUCCUAGUCUUAAAUGAAGAUACCAGCAUCUCAUAAUUUAGGAGACUAAUCUUUUUUUUCUUUCCCAUAGACCUCCACAAUCUAAAUUGCUUCGUGAAGAUAAGAACCAUAACAUGUAUGUUGCAGGAUGUACAGAAGUUGAAGUGAAAUCUACUGAGGAGGCUUUUGAAGUUUUCUGGAGAGGUUAGAAACACCUAGAACUAGAAAAAUACAGAAUGAUGAAUAUCACCUAGAGUUGCUACUAAGUUUGAUGGCAAUUUUUUUUGACUUAUUAGAAAGCAUGUAUAAUGAAAUGACUGAGUUCAGGUUUGACAAAUGAUUUCUCUGUUGUCCUAGGCCAGAAAAAGAGACGUAUUGCUAAUACCCAUUUGAAUCGUGAGUCCAGCCGUUCCCAUAGCGUGUUCAACAUUAAAUUAGUUCAGGCUCCCUUGGAUGCAGAUGGAGACAAUGUCUUACAGGAAAAAGAACAAAUCACUAUAAGUCAGUUGUCCUUGGUAGAUCUUGCUGGAAGUGAAAGAACUAACCGGACCAGAGCAGAAGGGAACAGAUUACGUGAAGCUGGUAAUAUUAAUCAGUCACUAAUGACGCUAAGAACAUGUAUGGAUGUCCUAAGAGAGAACCAAAUGUAUGGAACUAACAAGAUGGUUCCAUAUCGAGAUUCAAAGUUAACCCAUCUGUUCAAGAACUACUUUGAUGGGGAAGGAAAAGUGCGGAUGAUCGUGUGUGUGAACCCCAAGGCUGAAGAUUAUGAAGAAAACUUGCAAGUCAUGAGAUUUGCGGAAGUGACUCAAGAAGUUGAAGUAGCAAGACCUGUAGACAAGGCAAUAUGUGGUUUAACGCCUGGGAGGAGAUACAGAAACCAGCCUCGAGGUCCAGUUGGAAAUGAACCAUUGGUUACUGACGUGGUUUUGCAGAGUUUUCCACCUUUGCCAUCAUGCGAAAUUUUGGAUAUCAACGAUGAGCAGACACUUCCAAGGCUGAUUGAAGCCUUAGAGAAACGACAUCACCUACGACAAAUGAUGAUUGAUGAGUUUAACAAACAAUCUAAUGCUUUUAAAGCUUUGUUACAAGAAUUUGACAAUGCUGUUUUAAGUAAAGAAAACCACAUGCAAGGGAAACUAAAUGAAAAGGAGAAGAUGAUCUCAGGACAGAAAUUG